rnacentral:rRNA from 1 species
CCAGAGAUUUCCGAAUGGGGGAACCCACUAUCUUUAGUCGGAUAGUAUCCUUACGUGAAUACAUAGCGUAAGGAAGGCAGACCCAGGGAACUGAAACAUCUAAGUACCUGGAGGAAGAGAAAGAAAAAUCGAUUUCCUGAGUAGCGGCGAGCGAAACGGAAAGAGCCCAAACCAAGAAGCUUGCUUCUUGGGGUUGUAGGACACUCUAUACGGAGUUACAAAAGAAAGUUAUAAAUGAAGCGGUCUGGAAAGGCCCGCCAAAGACGGUAACAGCCCGGUAGUUGAAAUGGCUUUCCCUCCAGAGUGGAUCCUGAGUACGGCGGAACACGUGAAAUUCCGUCGGAAUCCGGGAGGACCAUCUCCCAAGGCUAAAUACUCCCUAGUGACCGAUAGUGAACCAGUACCGUGAGGGAAAGGUGAAAAGCACCCCGGAAGGGGAGUGAAACAGUUCCUGAAACCGUGUGCCUACAAGUAGUUAGAGCCCGUUAAUGGGUGAUAGCGUGCCUUUUGUAGAAUGAACCGGCGAGUUACGAUUUGUUGCAAGGUUAAGCGGAAAAAGCGGAGCCGUAGCGAAAGCGAGUCUGAAUAGGGCGCAUAAGUAACAGGUCGUAGACCCGAAACCAGGUGAUCUACCCAUGUCCAGGAUGAAGGUAAGGUAAUACUUACUGGAGGUCCGAACCCACGCACGUUGAAAAGUGCGGGGAUGAGGUGUGGGUAGCGGAGAAAUUCCAAUCGAACUUGGAGAUAGCUGGUUCUCUCCGAAAUAGCUUUAGGGCUAGCCUCGAGGUAAAGAGUCAUGGAGGUAGAGCACUGUUUGGACUAGGGGCCCUUCUCGGGUUACCGAAUUCAGAUAAACUCCGAAUGCCAUGUACUUAUACUCGGGAGUCAGACUGCGAGUGAUAAGAUCCGUAGUCGAAAGGGAAACAGCCCAGACCACCAGUUAAGGUCCCCAAAUAUAUGUUAAGUGGAAAAGGAUGUGGGGUUGCUUAGACAACCAGGAUGUUGGCUUAGAAGCAGCCACCAUUGAAAGAGUGCGUAAUAGCUCACUGGUCGAGUGACCCCGCGCCGAAAAUGUACCGGGGCUAAACAUAUUA